ACUGCGAUAGGGGACAUCGAGUGGCACCCACCAUGGGUGUCUGUCCAGCCGUCUAAAAAACGGCUGUUAGCAAGGGCCGGGCAAGACCGGUGCCAGCCGCCGCGGUAAUACCGGCGGCUCGAGUGGUGGCCGAUAUUAUUGAGUCUAAAGGGUCCGUAGCCGGCUUUGCAAGUCCCCUGGGAAAUCCAGCGGCUUAACCGUUGGGCUUUCAUGGGAUACUACAUUGCUUGGGACUGGGAGAGGUAGGAGGUACUCAGGGGGUAGGGG
rnacentral:rRNA from 1 species